GGUUAAGCGACUAAGCGUACACGGUGGAUGCCCUGGCAGUCAGAGGCGAUGAAGGACGUGCUAAUCUGCGAAAAGCGUCGGUAAGGUGAUAUGAACCGUUAUAGCCGGCGAUGUCCGAAUGGGGAAACCCAGUGCAAUUCGUUGCACUAUCGUUAACUGAAUACAUAGGUUAACGAGGCGAACCGGGGGAACUGAAACAUCUAAGUACCCCGAGGAAAAGAAAUCAACCGAGAUUCCCCCAGUAGCGGCGAGCGAACGGGGAGCAGCCCAGAGUCUGAAUCAGCUUGUGUGUUAGUGGAACGGUCUGGAAAGUCCGACGGUACAGGGUGAUAGUCCCGUACACCAAAAUGCACAGGCUGUGAACUCGAAGAGUAGGGCGGGACACGUGGUAUCCUGUCUGAAUAUGGGGGGACCAUCCUCCAAGGCUAAAUACUCCUGACUGACCGAUAGUGAACCAGUACCGUGAGGGAAAGGCGAAAAGAACCCCGGCGAGGGGAGUGAAAAAGAACCUGAAACCGUGUACGUACAAGCAGUGGGAGCACCUUCGGGUGUGACUGCGUACCUUUUGUAUAAUGGGUCAGCGACUUAUAUUCUGUAGCAAGGUUAACCGUAUAGGGGAGCCGCAGGGAAACCGAGUCUUAACUGGGCGUUAAGUUGCAGGGUAUAGACCCGAAACCCGGUGAUCUAGCCAUGGGCAGGUUGAAGGUUGGGUAACACUAACUGGAGGACCGAACCGACUAAUGUUGAAAAAUUAGCGGAUGACUUGUGGCUGGGGGUGAAAGGCCAAUCAAACCGGGAGAUAGCUGGUUCUCCCCGAAAGCUAUUUAGGUAGCGCCUCGUGAACUCAUCUUCGGGGGUAGAGCACUGUUUCGGCUAGGGGGUCAUCCCGACUUACCAACCCGAUGCAAACUACGAAUACCGAAGAAUGUUAUCACGGGAGACACACGGCGGGUGCUAACGUCCGUCGUGAAGAGGGAAACAACCCAGACCGCCAGCUAAGGUCCCAAAGUCAUGGUUAAGUGGGAAACGAUGUGGGAAGGCACAGACAGCCAGGAUGUUGGCUUAGAAGCAGCCAUCAUUUAAAGAAAGCGUAAUAGCUCACUGGUCGAGUCGGCCUGCGCGGAAGAUGUAACGGGGCUAAACCAUGCACCGAAGCUGCGGCAGCGACACUAUGUGUUGUUGGGUAGGGGAGCGUUCUGUAAGCCUGCGAAGGUGUGCUGUGAGGCAUGCUGGAGGUAUCAGAAGUGCGAAUGCUGACAUAAGUAACGAUAAAGCGGGUGAAAAGCCCGCUCGCCGGAAGACCAAGGGUUCCUGUCCAACGUUAAUCGGGGCAGGGUGAGUCGACCCCUAAGGCGAGGCCGAAAGGCGUAGUCGAUGGGAAACAGGUUAAUAUUCCUGUACUUGGUGUUACUGCGAAGGGGGGACGGAGAAGGCUAUGUUAGCCGGGCGACGGUUGUCCCGGUUUAAGCAUGUAGGCUGGUUAUCCAGGCAAAUCCGGAUAAUCAAGGCUGAGGUGUGAUGACGAGGCACUACGGUGCUGAAGUAACAAAUGCCCUGCUUCCAGGAAAAGCCUCUAAGCAUCAGGUAACAUCAAAUCGUACCCCAAACCGACACAGGUGGUCAGGUAGAGAAUACCAAGGCGCUUGAGAGAACUCGGGUGAAGGAACUAGGCAAAAUGGUGCCGUAACUUCGGGAGAAGGCACGCUGGUGUGUAGGUGAAGCCCCUGCGGGUGGAGCUGAGACCAGUCGAAGAUACCAGCUGGCUGCAACUGUUUAUUAAAAACACAGCACUGUGCAAACACGAAAGUGGACGUAUACGGUGUGACGCCUGCCCGGUGCCGGAAGGUUAAUUGAUGGGGUUAUCCGUAAGGAGAAGCUCUUGAUCGAAGCCCCGGUAAACGGCGGCCGUAACUAUAACGGUCCUAAGGUAGCGAAAUUCCUUGUCGGGUAAGUUCCGACCUGCACGAAUGGCGUAAUGAUGGCCAGGCUGUCUCCACCCGAGACUCAGUGAAAUUGAACUCGCUGUGAAGAUGCAGUGUACCCGCGGCAAGACGGAAAGACCCCGUGAACCUUUACUAUAGCUUGACACUGAACAUUGAGCCUUGAUGUGUAGGAUAGGUGGGAGGCUUUGAAGCGUGGACGCCAGUCUGCGUGGAGCCAACCUUGAAAUACCACCCUUUAAUGUUUGAUGUUCUAACGUUGGCCCCUGACCGGGGUUGCGGACAGUGUCUGGUGGGUAGUUUGACUGGGGCGGUCUCCUCCCAAAGCGUAACGGAGGAGCACGAAGGUUAGCUAAUCCUGGUCGGACAUCAGGAGGUUAGUGCAAUGGCAUAAGCUAGCUUGACUGCGAGCGUGACGGCGCGAGCAGGUGCGAAAGCAGGUCAUAGUGAUCCGGUGGUUCUGAAUGGAAGGGCCAUCGCUCAACGGAUAAAAGGUACUCCGGGGAUAACAGGCUGAUACCGCCCAAGAGUUCAUAUCGACGGCGGUGUUUGGCACCUCGAUGUCGGCUCAUCACAUCCUGGGGCUGAAGUAGGUCCCAAGGGUAUGGCUGUUCGCCAUUUAAAGUGGUACGCGAGCUGGGUUUAGAACGUCGUGAGACAGUUCGGUCCCUAUCUGCCGUGGGCGCUGGAGAAUUGAGGGGGGCUGCUCCUAGUACGAGAGGACCGGAGUGGACGCAUCACUGGUGUUCGGGUUGUCAUGCCAAUGGCACUGCCCGGUAGCUAAAUGCGGAAGAGAUAAGUGCUGAAAGCAUCUAAGCACGAAACUUGCCCCGAGAUGAGUUCUCCCUGAGACUUUAAGUCUCCUGAAGGAACGUUAAAGACGAUGACGUUGAUAGGCCGGGUGUGUAAGCGCAGCGAUGCGUUGAGCUAACCGGUACUAAUGAACCGUGAGGCUUAACCUU
rnacentral:rRNA from 1 species